GCCUUCGUGGUGCAGUGAUCAGCACGCUCGACGUGUAUUCAAGAGGUCCGUGGUUCAAGUCCCGGCGAGGGCA
rfam:Stegodyphus mimosarum contig35759, whole genome shotgun sequence.